UAAUAAAAUAAAGAAAAGAAAAUAUCAUCUUUUCUUCAUCUUCUCUCCACCGAAAAAUGGCAGCAAAGAAAGGGUUUAGAAGCUGGAAACUUUCAGCAAAGAAACUCCCUUUAUAAUGAUGAAAAUUGAGAUUUGGACCUAGAACGGAAAGAAAUCGAUUUAUGGACGAGUAUGUCUUUUCACCUUUGUGGUAUAUAGUACUCGGAAGCUCAUAAAGGUUGGAAGUGGGUCAUAGCAAAAUCACACUAUCCUUCAGCUCAUUUUGGUAUAAUUAGUAAAAUUACCUUUGGUAUAAUGGCAUGUAUACACUAAAUUAAGCCAAAUGAUUAUAUGCUUUGGUUGUAAUUAGCCAUUGGAAUGGCUAGUGAUGGUACGUUUGAUGUAUAUAUGCAUGAGGUUGUAUUAUGUUUGGUAUGUGAGUGUGCUUAGAUUGGUAUUUUAGCUAUAAACAUACUUAAGUAAAUGAUCAAUUGAGUAAGUUGGAAGUUUGAAUAAAUGUCAUGAUAUAUCAUGUAUAAGACUUAGUUUGGCUUGA